rnacentral:rRNA from 1 species
CCUACGGGAGGCAGCAGUGAGGAAUAUUGGUCAAUGGGCGGGAGCCUGAACCAGCCAAGCCGCGUGAGGGAAGAAGGUACAGCGUAUUGUAAACCUCUUUUGUCAGGGAACAAAGGCGGGGACUAGUCCCCGGAUGAGGGUACCUGAAGAAAAAGCAUCGGCUAACUCCGUGCCAGCAGCCGCGGUAAUACGGAGGAUGCGAGCGUUAUCCGGAUUUAUUGGGUUUAAAGGGUGCGCAGGCGGACGGUUAAGUCAGCGGUAAAAGCCCGGGGCUCAACCCCGGCGAGCCGUUGAAACUGGCGGGCUGGAGUUGGAGAGAAGUACGCGGAAUGCGCGGUGUAGCGGUGAAAUGCUUAGAUAUCGCGCAGAACCCCGAUUGCGAAGGCAGCGUACCGGCUCCAAACUGACGCUGAGGCACGAAAGCGUGGGUAUCGAACAGGAUUAGAUACCCCUGUAGUC